CUUUUUUAUUAAAAUUAAGCACAUUUCUAGAUUAAAAGCAUAUUUUAAAUGUAGUGUUCUUCUUUCACAGGCCAGAGAAACUUUACUGUGUGUUGUGAGACUGUUAUCAGUGCUCAUGUCGGCAGGAACUGCAUCUAAACCCUGCUGUAAGACUUCAAUAUUUUCCCCGAUGAUGGGCAUCUACAGCCAGGUCCCGUUUGGCACAAACAACAGAGGGAGGAAUCUUGCACCCUCAUUACAUAGCAGCCACUCUAAUUACAAGCUGCUCAAGAGAUGUUAUUCUACACCUGCUGGUGACAAUGACAGCACCUCUGUCCCUUGCUCGUCUUUGCUUUUGUGUAAUGGGGCGCGGGGUGCAACACAACACCGUUUUAAAUAA
ensembl:lncRNA